GUCAGUGUCUUUCUCCUAGAGACCCACAGCCAGCUUCUAAUACUUUAAACGUGGUGGAAAGGCUGUGAGUUAGCUUAACAGCUGAUUUUCCUCAGAGCAUUGGCUGGAAUUAUGGGUUUUAAGAGGCAGAAGCAAUAACCUACACCUUUCUUAGAGACAUUACUGCUGCUGUGAGUGAUGCCUGCAAGAAGCCACACAACCAUUCAAGCACAUUGGCAAACCUGCAUGAGUGAGCAAGUUACUCCGUGGAAUCACCCUUGAGCAAUGAGGGACAGGCACAGGUAAGAAAGUCCUUUCCUUUGCUGUAUCUCAGGCAGACAAUUCUGAAGCACACUUCACACAGUUCUUCAGAGGAUUCCUGAUGGGGUGGAGCUCCAGUUGCCCACUGCAGUAACCAAUUCAAUAGCAGACAGUUGGAGUGGCUUUCCUUCCUGAUCUGUUGCAUUCUUCGCAGUUCCUUGAGAACACUUAGGAAAAUAAACUGGUGAAUGCUUG
rnacentral:lncRNA from 1 species